UACGUAGGGGGCGAGCGUUGUCCGGAUUUAUUGGGCGUAAAGAGCGUGUAGGCGGCCAGGUAGGUCUGCUGUGAAAACUCGAGGCUCAACCUCGAGACGUCGGCGGAAACCAUCUGGCUAGAGUCCGGAAGAGGAGAGUGGAAUUCCAGGUGUAGCGGUGAAAUGCGUAGAUAUCUGGAGGAACACCGGUGGCGAAGGCGGCAUCCUGGACCGACAUUGACGCUGAGGCGCGAAAGCCAGGGGAGCAAACGGG
rnacentral:rRNA from 1 species